rnacentral:rRNA from 1 species
AUUGACCGCUGGCGGCAGGCCUAACACAUGCAAGUCGAGCGGAUGAAGGGAGCUUGCUCCUGGAUUCAGCGGCGGACGGGUGAGUAAUGCCUAGGAAUCUGCCUGGUAGCGGGGGAUAACGUCCGGAAACGGGCGCUAAUACCGCAUACGUCCUGAGGGAGAAAGUGGGGGAUCUUCGGACCUCACGCUAUCAGAUGAGCCUAGGUCGGAUUAGCUAGUUGGUGGGGUAAAGGCCUACCAAGGCGACGAUCCGUAACUGGUCUGAGAGGAUGAUCAGUCACACUGGAACUGAGACACGGUCCAGACUCCUACGGGAGGCAGCAGUGGGGAAUAUUGGACAAUGGGCGAAAGCCUGAUCCAGCCAUGCCGCGUGUGUGAAGAAGGUCUUCGGAUUGUAAAGCACUUUAAGUUGGGAGGAAGGGCAGUAAGUUAAUACCUUGCUGUUUUGACGUUACCAACAGAAUAAGCACCGGCUAACUUCGUG